AACGUAGGAGGCAAGCGUUAUCCGGAUUUACUGGGCGUAAAGCGCACGCAGGUGGCUGAGUCAGUCGAUUGUGAAAGCCCUGGGCUUAACCUGGGAAUUGCAGUCGAUACUACUCAGCUAGAGUAUGGGAGAGGGUAGUGGAAUUCCCGGUGUAGCGGUGAAAUGCGUAGAUAUCGGGAGGAACAUCAGUGGCGAAGGCGGCUACCUGGCCCAAUACUGACACUCAGGUGCGACAGCGUGGGGAGCAAACAGG
rnacentral:rRNA from 1 species